rnacentral:rRNA from 1 species
AUACCUUUCAGCGAUGGAUCUCUUGACUCCCGCAACGAUGAAGAACGCCGCGAAACGCGAUAUGUAAUGUGAAUUGCAGGAUUAAGUGAAUCAUCAAAUCUUUGAACGCAAAUUGCGCUUUGACCUUCUGGUCUGAGCAUACCUGGAUCAGACUUUUUUU